rnacentral:rRNA from 1 species
GGGGGGGCUAACUUGCAGUCCGACGGGUGUAAGAAGGGAAGAUACGGUCGGAAGGUCUGUGCAUGAGUGGCGGACGUGUGAGUAACGCGUGGGCAACCUGGCCUGUACAGGGGGAUAACACUUAGAAAUAGGUGCUAAUACCGCAUAACGGGGGAAGCCGCAUGGCUUUUCCCUGAAAACUCCGGUGGUACAGGAUGGGCCCGCGUCUGAUUAGCCAGUUGGCAGGGUAACGGCCUACCAAAGCGACGAUCAGUAGCCGGCCUGAGAGGGCGGACGGCCACACUGGGACUGAGACACGGCCCAGACUCCUACGGGAGGCAGCAGUGGGGGAUAUUGCACAAUGGGGGGAACCCUGAUGCAGCGACGCCGCGUGGGUGAAGAAGCGCCUCGGCGCGUAAAGCCCUGUCAGCAGGGAAGAAAAUGACGGUACCUGAAGAAGAAGCCCCGGCUAACUACGUGCCAGCAGCCGCGGUAAUACGUAGGGGGCAAGCGUUAUCCGGAUUUACUGGGUGUAAAGGGGGCGCAGACGGCGAUGCAAGCCAGGAGUGAAAGCCCGGGGCCCAACCCCGGGACUGCUCUUGGAACUGCGUGGCUGGAGUGCAGGAGGGGCAGGCGGAAUUCCUGGUGUAGCGGCGAAAUGCGUAAAUCCCAGGACGACCACCGGUGGAGAAGGCGGCCCGGUGAAUUGUACAUUGACGCUGAUGUCCCUAAAGCCCUUCUACCUCCCCGCAUUUCCCCAUAAUUCUACCC